rnacentral:rRNA from 1 species
AACGAACGCUGGCGGCAUGCCUAACACAUGCAAGUCGAACGAGACCUUCGGGUCUAGUGGCGCACGGGUGCGUAACGCGUGGGAACCUGCCCUUAGGUUCGGAAUAACUCCCCGAAAGGGGUGCUAAUACCGGAUAAUGUCUUCGGACCAAAGAUUUAUCGCCUUUGGAUGGGCCCGCGUUGGAUUAGCUAGUUGGUAGGGUAAAAGCCUACCAAGGCGACGAUCCAUAGCUGGUCUGAGAGGAUGAUCAGCCACACUGGGACUGAGACACGGCCCAGACUCCUACGGGGGGAAGCAGGGGGAAAAAUUGGAAAUGGGGCGAAAGCCUGAUCCAGCAAUGCGGGGGGAGUGAUGAAGGCUUUGGGGUUGUAAAGCCCUUUUCCCCGGGAGGUUAAUAACAGUACCGGGGGAUUAAGCCCCGGCAAACUCCGU